rnacentral:rRNA from 1 species
CCUACGGGUGGCAGCAGUGGGGAAUAUUGCGCAAUGGGGGCAACCCUGACGCAGCAACGCCGCGUGAUUGAAGACGGCCUUCGGGUUGUAAAGAUCUUUAAUCGGGGACGAAUUUUGACGGUACCCGAAGAAUAAGCUCCGGCUAACUACGUGCCAGCAGCCGCGGUAAUACGUAGGGAGCAAGCGUUAUCCGGAUUUACUGGGUGUAAAGGGCGUGUAGGCGGGCAUGCAAGCCAGAAGUGAAAUCUGGGGGCUUAACCCCCAAACUGCUUUUGGAACUGCGUGUCUUGAGUGAUGGAGAGGCAGGCGGAAGUCCCAGUGUAGCGGUGAAAUGCGUAGAUAUUGGGAGGAACACCAGUGGCGAAGGCAGCUUACCAAACUACGACUGACGUUGAGGCACGAAAGCGUGGGGAGCAAACAGGAUUAGAUACCCUUGUAGUC